GCUGGGUGCAGUGGUGCACACCUGUAAUCCCAGCAACUCAGGAGGCUGAAGUAGGAGGAUCCCAAGUUUUCAGCAAUUUGGGGAACCCUGUUACAA
rnacentral:sRNA from 1 species